CUCGGAUUUACUGUGGCACUGGACGGGGGAAGGGAAAACUGAGAUUGGAGGGAGAAAAUAAUCACAAACUGAGGUUGUUUCAUAAAUAUACGUUCACAUGCCAAUUUGCGAAAUAAGACAUCGAACGCAACGCUUUCAAAUUCAGAUGUCCUAAUAUGGAAGCAAGACACCUCCUUUCAAGGACCAUGGACACAAAGUAAUCCCUUCCAUGCCACACGUCUUACCGCUCACAAUUACCGGACCAUUGUAACAUUCAACUGUAUGCCCUUUCAUGUAAGGCUGAAGACCUGCGCACAGCAGCACUGAUGCAAGUAACGUGAACAGGAGCACCACGCGGUUGCCCCAAUGCCCCUGAGAUUCCUCCUAAGUGCCAAAGUAAUGAAGCGUCUUGGACAGGAAGGGCCCAGCCUUACCAACCGAUGUCAUUAUCAAGCCUCCACAUUCGUCUACUGGGUCAGAUGAGACAACACAGCGCCCAGGCUUCUCUGUGGAAGGUGGAGGGAGGGAGUCUUUCAGCACACCUGCCUAUCGCUAGACGGCUGUCUCUUCCAGUCGACUCCUGAGGGAAGACCCCCUGUGUAGCUCACUCGGCACACACAACACAGACGCAUUGUUGUAACGCAGUGACUUAAAGAAUCGCCGGUUCGUUGCUUGAAACAUUCACAGCCGGGUCCCCAUCAACGUUUACAGACUGUACACAAAGAAGAUGAAUGGGACUAACAUCAUCCAUGGACAGUAACAGUAACUAAGCGUUGGAAAUACAUUUGACCUUGGACAUUUAGCUUUACAUGCAUACAAGGAGAGAAGAGUGACACUCUGAACGGCUCUUGAACAUAAACCAUGGUGGACUCCACGUCAGCUCCUUGUCGAGUCCAUGACCUCAGCGGCCUAUAGAGGGAACGAUCCGGAAGAGCGUUCUCUGACAAACUCCCACAUAUGCAAUGGAAGGAGACAUUAGUGUUGAAUCACACACUGAGGGUCUGACAUGUUUGUCCCAUGAAUGUAAACCAUUCGAGGAGGUCACGAACGGCCAUUCCAUCCACAAGCCGGUGACGAAUGGACUCCCCAUCGGCCAUCGUGUUAAAGAGCAGAGCAAUGGAAACGCUUCGCUGCGUUCACUGCCGAUCUCAGCACUGAAGCAGAAUGGCCUUCUGCAGACCUUGGCUGCGGGAGGGGAGCCUAUGGUGGCAGGUAGCCCUAGCCGGUAAAAACAAAUGCUUCCCUGGAGAUGGAGCUGCCUGCUUGCGGAGAUGCACAGAG
ensembl:lncRNA